UGGAGCAUGUAUAGACAUUCUAAAACUGGUUCAGUUCUGCUCUGGAAUUGUAUCAGAAAUUCUAACGUGAACCACAUCAGGAAUUGUAUCAGCGGCAGUCUAAUGCACUCUGCAUAGGCUCGAGGCAACUGAACUUAUUGGUCAGCCCCAUAUUACAAUAAUAUAACUAUAUUAUAAAAACCCUAGUUACACUCUCCCACCAAAUGUAGACAAAAUCCAUGGAAGAAAGUGGCCACAAACUUAUAAAAACCUAAUAGUUUUGACUAUGACUAGAGAAAUCCAUAUGUCUAGGGCAUCUUACAACUCUGGACUGUAAGCUACGUUAUCCUGGAUCUCUUCAGGGAACAGCUGCAUCAUGUACCUCCUGUUGGAUAUGACCUCUUCUGGACUGUUUUAUUUUGCCGAAUGAAGCCCCUUCUUUGGUACUCUCAGUGGUUGAAGCAGGGUGGAAUUUUUUGAGCAAACAUUAUUCUGAAGCCUGGGAUCUUCACGAUAUCAUAAAGCAUGCUCCUUUGUUUGGGUGUUGAAAUAGCCAUUAAGUCCAGAAUCUGCAAAGUUUUUCAGCUUGGCUUUUAGAAAUUUAAGGUCUACCCUUUCUAGACCCAAAAAAAAAGCAAUAAAAGGAAAAUUAGGCAAAUGUCUCCAGGGUUUCUGUUUUCUCCAGAUGUGGGUGGCACUUCAAAGUAGAGCAGUCAGUUAUGCCCCAGCCAGCUGUCCUAACAGCCAGUGAAUUCUGCUUUCUCUAAUCAGCUCCCAGCACUAGCUUUUCUAAAUCAGAUCAUCUCCCUAUAUCAAAUGCAGAGUUCAUCUGUUUCUAAUUGUCUGAUAUCAGCUGAGAACAGGUGUUGUUAUAAUCUAUCUCUACUGCCCUUUUUGCUUGUCAAUUUUUCAGUGCAUUUUAAUUUCUCAGCUCAGUUGAAUUCUAUUUCUACAUUCAGCUUUUAGUAUCACAGUCCUCCAGUUUCUCUGCCUUUCUAGCCACAAAUCAAGGCUUCCUUAGGUGUAGUGACCCACCACUAAUGAAUAGGACACUCAUAAUCUUCUGCCUGAUCUCCAAGGUGCCACUUCCUCCUUUUUUUUUUUUUUUUUAAGGGCAAUGGAGGUUAAGUGACUUGCCCAAGAUCACACAGCUAGUAAGUUUCUGAGACUGAAUUUGAACUCAGGUUUUUCUGACUCCUGGACUAGUGCUCUAACCAGUAGAUCACCAUGCUGCUUUUUCCUCCUCCUUUCUUGUUUUCUUAAGACUUCCUUUGUUUGCCUUGUUUAUCUCUGCUCAAGAUCAGGCUCUUCAGCCCUCUAGGUAAUUUGUCCCCAGACAAAAGAAGUCAGAUGAACAGGGCAUAAAAAGACAAUUUUACAAGAAAUACAGAGAAAAGCGGCUUGAAGAGAAACAGUUCUGAGAGGACUUGAAAGAAAGCAGCCUCUCAGACAUAAAAGUAUUGUCUGAUAGUAAAGAUGGCUACAGGGCAUUGUUUUCUAGAAGCGAAUUUACAUAUGUUAAGUUUAUUAUAUUUUUAAAAAAGAAAACCAGGUUGUACAUCAUAGAGAUUAGCAGUUUCACUUAUAAUCUUCUUUUCAGUUUUACUCUGGGCAUAUGUAUGGAAACGUUCAUUUCAUUUGAUGUUUGCUAAGUUCAGAAUGAAAAUAAAACUUUGUUCUCAUUUCUCAUUCCAAUGAUCUCCAAAUAGAUUCAGAGAGUUCAGGACAAACUGACCUUUCCUGCUUUUCUGCUUCUGUUUCUACUCAAUCACAUAUACACAGGUGAGGUCAUUAUGGGCUUUAGCAAUAGCCAUAGAGUUAAUAAUGAAUGUAACCCACCUUUAGGAGCUCAGCCAAAAAAACAGAAAAAAGAAAAAACAAGGAGGAUGUGGGACAGUCUUCCUUCCAACAUUACAUAAAUUCCAAGAGAGUUUCAAACCUGAUCUUCUGAAGACAAACUACCUAACGUGCUUAAGAGCCUGACCUUGGGAAGAAACUUGUGGAUAAGAGAUGGAGAAGCCAAAGGAGAUUCCUACAUCCUGUAAGCUGACCUGCUGAGGAAUCCUCAGGACCCUUGGACCUUCCCAUCCUUCCUGAGCGGAGCUCUCUGAUGUGCUGUCUCCCCCCAUCCAAGUGGGAGCUCCCUGAGAGCAAGGACUGUCUCACUGAAGCCCCCCAGCACUCUGAUUAGAAAGGGAAGGGGAAGAACAUUUAUAUAAUGCCCUCUAGGGCCUUUGUGCUUUACACUGUGCUCAGUGCUUUACAAAUGUUAUCUCCUUUGUCCCUCACAAGAACCCUGAGAGGUAGGUGCUAUUAGUGUACCCAUUUUACAGCUGAGGAAGCUGUGGUAAACAGAGAUUACAUGACUUGUCCAAAGUCACAUAAUUAAUGUCUGAGGCCAAAUUUGAACUUGAGCCUUCCUGACUCUAGGCCCACUGCUCUGUUUACUGUAUCACUUAGCUGUCUGUGCAUAAUAAGUGUUUAAUAAAGUAUUUAAUAAAUUCUUUUUUAAAAUUG